GAUGAACGCUGGCGGCGUGCCUAAUACAUGCAAGUCGAGCGAACGGACGAGAAGCUUGCUUUUCUGAUGUUAGCGGCGGACGGGUGAGUAACACGUGGAUAACCUACCUAUAAGACUGGGAUAACUUCGGGAAACCGGAGCUAAUACCGGAUAAUAUUUUGAACCUCAUGGUUCAAAAGUGAAAGACGGUCUUGCUGUCACUUAUAGAUGUAUCCGCGCUGCAUUAGCUAGUUGUUAAGGUAACGGCUUACCAAGGCAACGAUGCAUAGCCGACCAGAGAGGGAGAUUGAACAGACUGGAACUGAGCAACGGUCACAACUCAAACGGGAGGCGGCAGAGGGGAAUCCUGCGCAAUGGGGGAAGGCAUAACGGAGCAACGCCGCGUGACUGAUGAAGGUCUUCGGAUCGUAAAAUUCUGGUAUUAGGGAAGAACAUAUGUGUAAGUAACUGAGCACAUCUUGACGGUACCUAAUCAGAAAGCCACGGCUAACUACGUG
rnacentral:rRNA from 1 species